rnacentral:rRNA from 1 species
GACGAACGCUGGCGGCGUGCCUAAUACAUGCAAGUAGAACGCUGAAGGAGGAGCUUGCUUCUCCGGAUGAGUUGCGAACGGGUGAGUAACGCGUAGGUAACCUGCCUGGUAGCGGGGGAUAACUAUUGGAAACGAUAGCUAAUACCGCAUAAGAGUAGAUGUUGCAUGACAUUUGCUUAAAAGGUGCAAUUGCAUCACUACCAGAUGGACCUGCGUUGUAUUAGCUAGUUGGUGAGGUAACGGCUCACCAAGGCGACGAUACAUAGCCGACCUGAGAGGGUGAUCGGCCACGCUGGGACUGAGACACGGCCCAGACUCCUACGGGAGGCAGCAGUAGGGAAUCUUCGGCAAUGGACGGAAGUCUGACCGAGCAACGCCGCGUGAGUGAAGAAGGUUUUCGGAUCGUAAAGCUCUGUUGUAAGAGAAGAACGAGUGUGAGAGUGGAAAGUUCACACUGUGACGGUAUCUUACCAGAAAGGGACGGCUAACUACGUG